AUAGCUUCUCGGCCUUUUGGCUAAGAUCAUGUGUAGUCUCCGUUCUUAGCAGCUUUAAUGUCUGAUAUGUCCCUGAAUGGAGGACUCUAUAUUAAUCUAAUGUUUGGAGCAGGGAGUUGGAAUAGGGACUUGCUCCGUCCAUCCUCGCAUCAUCUUGAUAUUGCUGUGUCUCCGAGAAUGGUGCACUCCAG